rnacentral:rRNA from 1 species
CCUACGGGUGGCAGCAGUGGGGAAUAUUGGACAAUGGGGGCAACCCUGAUCCAGCCAUGCCGCGUGUGUGAAGAAGGCCCUCGGGUUGUAAAGCACUUUCAGUGAGGAAGAACGCCUGGUGGUUAAUACCCAUCAGGAAAGACAUCACUCACAGAAGAAGCACCGGCUAACUCCGUGCCAGCAGCCGCGGUAAUACGGAGGGUGCAAGCGUUAAUCGGAAUUACUGGGCGUAAAGCGCGCGUAGGUGGCUUGAUAAGCCGGUUGUGAAAGCCCCGGGCUCAACCUGGGAACGGCAUCCGGAACUGUCAAGCUAGAGUGCAGGAGAGGAAGGUAGAAUUCCCGGUGUAGCGGUGAAAUGCGUAGAGAUCGGGAGGAAUACCAGUGGCGAAGGCGGCCUUCUGGACUGACACUGACACUGAGGUGCGAAAGCGUGGGUAGCAAACAGGAUUAGAUACCCCGGUAGUC